AGCGAACGCUGGCGGCAGGCCUAACACAUGCAAGUCGAACGAACCUUUCGGGGUUAGUGGCGGACGGGUGAGUAACACGUGGGAACGUGCCUUUAGGUUCGGAAUAACUUAGGGAAACUUGUGCUAAUACCGAAUGUGCCCUUCGGGGGAAAGAUUAAUCGCCUUUAGAGCGGCCCGCGUCUGAUUAGCUAGUUGGUUGAGGUAAUGGCUCACCAAGGCGACGAUCAGUAGCUGGUCUGAGAGGAUGAUCAGCCACAUUGGGACUGAGACACGGCCCAAACUCCUACGGGAGGCAGCAGUGGGGAAUCUUGCGCAAUGGGCGAAAGCCUGACGCAGCCAUGCCGCGUGAAUGAUGAAGGUCUUAGGAUUGUAAAAUUCUUUCACCGGGGACGAUAAUGACGGUACCCGGAGAAGAAGCCCCGGCUAACUUCGUG
rnacentral:rRNA from 1 species